rnacentral:rRNA from 1 species
AACCUCCGCAAUGUGAGAAAUCGCGACGGGGGGAUCCCAAGUGCCAUUCUUAACGGGAUGGCUUUUCAUUAGUGUAAAGAGCUUUUGGAAUAAGAGCUGGGCAAGACCGGUGCCAGCCGCCGCGGUAACACCGACAGCUCUAGUGGUAGCAAUUUUUAUUGGGCCUAAAGCGUCCGUAGCCGGUUUAAUAAGUCUCUGGUGAAAUCCUGUAGCUUAACUGUGGGAAUUGCUGGAGAUACUAUUAGACUUGAGACCGGGAGAGGUUAGAGGUACUCCCAGGGUAGAGGUGAAAUUCUGUAAUCCUGGGAGGACCGCCUGUUGCGAAGGCGUCUAACUGGAACGGUUCUGACGGUGAGGGACGAAAGUUAGGGGCGCGAACCGGAUUAGAUACCCGGGUAGUCCUAACUGUAAACGAUGCGGACUUGGUGUUGGGGUGGCUUUGAGCUGUCUCAGUGCCGAAGGGAAGCUGUUAAGUCCGCCGCCUGGGAAGUACGGUCGCAAGACUGAAACUUAAAGGAAUU